UAUCAAAGGAUUACAGCCUGAUUUGCCACAAAACUUCUCAACAAGUCUGAUCAUACAAAUAUUCUUGGAGAUUAUUUUAGGAAGCCUAUAUGCUAGUACUUUUGACUGCAGGAAGGGAAACAAAGUUUCUCCGAAGUGGUCAUCUCCAGGAAGCAAGACCUACCGCCCAUAGCUAAAGAAGACCAGUUUCUGGAGAAACAAGGUUCACAGGUAGAUACCGAAAAUUGAGGCUGCUGGAAGUCUGAUUACCAGUAUGGACUCAUGGUACUUUAGAUGCCUCGUGAAGUGAUGGGUUCCUGUAUUGGAGAUGUUCCUACAAAGGCCAGAGCUCCAGGUAGCACAAGCAUCAUAUGGGAGACUCACAAGCUGGGCUGCAAAUUAGGGCAGAAGGAUC